rnacentral:tRNA from 1 species
GCCUCCGUGGCGCAAUCGGCUAGCGCGUUCGGCUGUUAACCGAAAGGUUGGAGCUUCAAGCCCUCCCGGGGGCG